AAUAAAAUCAUACAAGUCCAAGGCCUCAGUUUGUUUCUUAGAACUAACAUAACCCAGUACAAAAGCCCAAAUCAAGAAUCAUUACAAAACCCACAAAAAGCCCAAAAGAAUUAAAGCCAAUCGUCGCUACCAGAGACGAUGGAGAGGUCGCAUAGGAAUGAUGAUGGAAACGAAAGAGUUGUCAAGAUAGCCACUGUUGCAUCAUAGAAGAGGAGGCUAAAGGGUUUGCAUCUCUGAUUGAAAGGAUCUUGUCUCUUACUUGGCGGUCGAUCAGGCGGACCAAGGCGUCAGAAGAGCGGAAGGAGUUUCUGUGGAGGUAUGCAUUAUGCUCAAACAAGAUCCAAUAGAUGCAUGAUUGCCAGCAAAUAGUUGCUAAGUGUCGUAUCGCUGGCCCAUCAAUAACCCAUUCGUAGAAAUGGUGGUGAGAAUUGCAUGUACCUCUACUUGAGAGUCCGAUCCAGCCGGUGGUAAAUUCGAGGAACCAUUAGUCUGAAGAGAGGGCAGAGUUGCCAUUUCUGGUAUCCCAAGGAAGGAGUUUCCAAGUUAGAGAUGCUGUCUCAGACUGCUUAUAGAUGACCAGUUAUCAGUCCAUAAACGCCAGGAGAGACCAUUUGAUACACGGAGAUUGAUCCAAUUAUAUGGUUCACUUUUUUCUUAACGGCUUUUGUAAAAGUAUUAUACAAUACAAAACGAGAAAAGAGCUAAGUGAAUAUGAUUGAAUACCUCUUCAAAAUCAGAUAUUCAUUUUUUCCUAA